AGGGGAACUUGAGGCUGUACCUGAAGCUGUAUGCCUGAGCCUGGGCAUCCACAUCCAUGGAGCCGGGCGAGGACUCGUCAGGCCUGAGAGGACGACAGCAAAGUUGGCUGCUGCUAUAAAGGAUGGGGGCAAUUUUCCGCGAGAGGCUGGAAUAAUGAAGGGAAAGAAAAAUGGCACAUGAACGCUCGGGAAAAGCAACAAACAACAAAGUAACUCAAAUCUGCAGUGUUAGAAAAAAAGGAGUGCUGCAGUCACUCAACAUUUUGCAGCAGAAGAAAAGAUGUUGAGGACCUGCUCAACCUGUAAGUACAUUACUGUUUACUGUAUGCCUGUAAGUAGAGGUGGGGAAGUAAUCGAUGCAUCGCAAUUUGGACGAUUACAAAAUCAAUUCGUAAACGUCAAUAAUUGAUAAUCGAUUUAUUUUUUAUAAAAAGAAUUAUGCAGACAGUUCUAAAAUGUGGCUAACUGCAGCGAGCUACUUCACUGAGAGAUCUGACUAGAUCCUCUAAUACAGGACUUAACGUUCCAGUUUUGCACACAUUUCCAUGAAUUUAAUAAAUAAUACAUGUGAUGGGAAUUUCUGAUUACAAAUUCUCUGUUUUUAAAAGUUCCAAGUGAUAAACGCUUAUUUACUGAAACGAGAAGAAAUGUAAAACUGAAUCCAAAUACAUAAAUUAAAUACGCAUCAGUAAUGGAUUUUUUCAUCGUAAUCGUACUUGAAACGUGAGAUGGCCAAAGAUUCCAGCCUCCACCUGCAAGUGUUUUUUACUAUGUAAAACUGAGUUUAAAUUAUCGAUUGUAGAGCAGGGGUGGCCUUUUGUGACUCACAGCUCGAGUUUUGGAAUUGUCAAUAUUAAAAUCCAACAAAACAAAAUAAAUCAUAAAAGGAAAAAGAGCAAAAAGACACAAUGUCACGAGAAAA